UACGUAGGGGGCAAGCGUUGUCCGGAUUUAUUGGGCGUAAAGAGCGUGUAGGCGGUUUGGUAGGUCCGCUGUGAAAACUCGAGGCUCAACCUCGAGACGCCGGUGGAAACCAUCAGACUAGAGUCCGGAAGAGGAGAGUGGAAUUCCUGGUGUAGCGGUGAAAUGCGCAGAUAUCAGGAGGAACACCAAUGGCGAAGGCAGAUCUCUGGGCCGUAACUGACGCUGAGGAGCGAAAGCAUGGGGAGCGAACAGG
rnacentral:rRNA from 1 species